GGCCUGUUGGCUGAGCGAUCUAGGCUACCGCCUGCAAAGCGGCAACAGAGUGGUUUAACUCCACUACAGGCUUCCA
rnacentral:tRNA from 1 species